GUCAUGCACUCUGUCUUCCGCCAAAAUUUAUAGAGCAGUACAGUUUUCAUAAUCAAGCAUAUGUGAGCCACAAACUUGGGUUUUGAGAAGGAACUAGUUCUUGUAACUCGAGCAUUACAAAGGUGUAGCGUUCUGUUGUUUUUUCUUAAAUUUCUUUCAACAUAAUAUUAAUUAUACCACCAGUGAAUUUGUAAACUUUUAAUGAUGUAAUAUAUAUUAUGCUUGAUACUUUUUGUUUGUAUAGUUGGGUGACGUUUUGAUCUGUCACAUUGAUGAUGCAUAUCAGGCUUUUAAUCUGACCAUCCAAUCUUAGGUAGGAAAAAAUGCAAACUUAUUCGUUAGUAUAGAUUAAACUGUCUGAUCGGUAGGGGUGGAAAUGAGCCGAGCUCGAGCGAGCUUACCUCGGCUCAAAUUCGGCUUGAAAUUAAUUUCGAGCCUAAAUUUAAGCUCAAGCUUGAAUUGAAAUUAAUUCGAGCCGAGCUCGAGCGAGCCUAAUUUCGAGUCGAGCGAGCUCGAGCCCUAAACGAGCGCUUGAAUAUUUCUCAAUCAUAUGAUUAAUAGUUUAAUUUGUAUAGAACAUUAUCCUAUAAUUUAUACAAACAUAUGUGUAUAAGUUCAAAGUACAAAAUAUUUGUGAAUAUAGUAUUAGUAAUAGGUAAGAAAAAUAAUUUAUGAGAUUGAUUCUAAUUUUCUUCAGCCCACUAUGUCUUCUCUUCGCCUUCAAUCUCGCAUAUUACUUCAUUUCAUUAUGGCUGUCAAAAAAUAAAAAUUAUAUUAGAUAAAUAUUGAAUUAAACUAUCCAUCAUCUAUACAAAAUUAAAUUUAUAUGAUAAUAAUUUUUAUUUAAACAUAUUCUGUUAUUUUCUCAAGUCAACAAUUAUAGCAGUAGGCAAACACGGGUAUUAUGCUGUUCUGUAGUAAUUGGAGGGCUUCUGGCUUGGCCACUUUAGGGUGAGAGACAGAAAAAGAGAAAGAGAAACAUAUUAAAAAUUUAGAGGUCUCUGUGAAAAGAAAAAAAAAAGAAAAUGGUAUAAAUUUAGUAAAGAAUUUGCGUCUUUUAUUUGUCUAAAUUGGGUUUGUUUUUAUGGCCAACAAUAUUGGCCCCAAUUUUUUACUAAACUGAGGUUAUUCACUCAGCCUAAUAUAUAAUUAUUAUUAUUAAAAUUAUUUAUAUUUAUAUAUUUUUUAUAUACUAUAUAUAUAUAUAUAUAUAUAUUGUAGAACUACUAUGCUAUCGAAAAUAUAGAGGAUUUGAUGUUUUCGAAUUUUUGACCCUUUGAUUAAGAAUUGUAUGGUUGGGAUGAUUGCGGUCCCCACAGGAUUAAAUAAUAUCCUUAGGAUUGAGUAGUCCCUACAAGAUAAUAAUAGUAUUAAUCCAAAGAUAAGAAAUGAUUAAAGGGGUUGAUCUAAGAAUCAAAAAAUCGAAAGCAUCAUAUCCUCUAUACUUUCGAUAGCAUAGUAGCUCUACUAUAUAUAUGUAUUCGAGCUUUUCGAGCUUUUCGAGCCUAAUUCGAGCGAGCCGAGUAAUACUCAAGCUCGGCUUGAAAUGAAUUCCGAGCCUUUUUUUUUGUUCAAGCUCGGCUCAUUUAAUUUCGAGUCGAGCUCGAGCGAGCCAAAUAUCGAGUCGAACGCGAGUCGAACGCGAGCCGGCUCGCUCAUUUGCCAGCCCUACUGAUCGGACGGAUGAAUGCAUGAAAGCAUUGCUCAUGGAUGUACGGAUGCAACAGAUGCAGGCGAUAAUUUCUCAGAGUCAUCAAGUCACUCAAAUGACACGAAUUGAAAAGUUUUUGUUGUAAAAUUAAAAUUUUUCAAAGUUGGUUAGUUGUUGCCAUCAUCAAAGUUCAGGUUAAUUCUGAAAGUUUGCUUUAGGAAACUAUGCAUAAAUCUAUAUCUGUUUGCAGUUCUCCUUACAGCUUGUUUCUAUAUAUUUGUCUUAGGAAAUUAUACGUAAAUCUACAUUCAUUUUGACUAAUUUGAAUAUUAAAUUACUGUCUGUUUCAGGAAAGCUGACGAUGUACGUAGUGGUUAUCGAUCCUGUUUCAUUAGCUGAUUUGUUUGCUUUUUGCUCAGAGAAUAAGGUUUCCAGAUGUGGUGACAGAGUCCAGGCCUAUUAGUUUUACUAAGCAUCAAAUCAUCGACUAUCAAGCAUGGAAUCAAAAUGAUCUUCGAAUUGAUCAGAAGAUUCUUUCAGUUGGUUAUGAUCUGCGACUUGGAAUAAAGGAGAGAAGCAUGUAUCUGCUGCUAAGUUAUACAAAUCUCAACAGCUGUUUAUAUUUGAUUUGUUUAUAAUCUGAUUCCACUCUGCUACAGGAGAUCACAAAAAGCAUGAUGAUGGCUCCAUCAUAAGUUACCUAUCAUCUUGGGUUUAUUCUUUUUUUUAGUCCUUUCUUUUCUUGUGAAAAAAAUCCAGCAGCAGUUAAAAAUUCCAAUCAACUGCACUAGAAAUUUGGCUGCAAGAAUGUCAUCAGUUCAGGUUAUUUAUUGGGUAUUGUUCAUUGACAGCGUCUGUAUCUGUAUACUGUAAUGUGAUGAUAUUUAUCUAUAUAUAUAAUUGAACUGUGAGUUGGAUAUUUCGCAGUGUGAUGAUCAAGACACAUGUUUUCCUUCUAUUCCUGUUCAAGCAAACUGGACUAGUCUACAGCUGUGACACUCAUCAUGUUGUUCUGCUUAACCUUAUCCCAGGAUCAUUAUCACUUGAGCGCCUGCUCAUAUAAUUUUUAAUAUUAAAAAAAAAAUUCACAAGACAAAGGCAAAAUUCGCCGUUUUGGGGUGUAGAGGUAACAUUGCUCAAUGUUGAUGAUGUAUGUCAAAAUUAAAAAAAAAACAAAUGAAAAUCCUAAAAUUAAAUAGAUUAUUGUUUCAUGAAUCGCAUCGCACGAGAUUAAAGCUAGUGAAAAGUUAAAAACAAAGUUGAGGGAGAGAAUCGAAAUAAUGAAGAUCUUCUACAUAUAUCCCAAAUCCUAGUAUAAUUAGAUUUUUACUCGAAUUAACAUUUAAAUUAUAUUUUUGUUUGGAUAGUUAUUUUAAUCUAUAAUAACUAGAAUUAAAAUAUUUAUUCUAAUCUAAUUAGGAUUUGCUAAAAUCGAAUCCUAACCGUAAUAACCGUUUCUUUUUACCUCCUCUAUUUCUCUAUAUAUACUUUGCAUAUAUAACGCCUCAUGGAUCCCUCUUCUCAUUAGGAUUUGCUAAAAUUAGUCUGCAAAAAAGAGAAAAAACAGAAUUUAAAACUCUGAGAAACUGUUUUUAUCAUCAGAUGAUCCACUUCUUUGGUUUAGCUCCAGGUUGUUGUCUUGUGUAUUGACAAUGCACAACUUUUCUGAUGCUUCAACAGGGUUUGAAACUAUAGAAACUUGUGUAGCAUUCUAGCUAUUUUGGUUGUGUAGAAAUGAAAAAACAUUGUGCUUAAAGACUACAUCUGAAUGUUCCUAUAAGUUGAAGUCUCUGACAUUUCUUAUUCCUGUUAAUUCAUACUGCAUGCUGAGAUGUUUUGUUUUUCUCUGCUGUUCUGUGAUUUUAAACUUGCGCAUCACCUGAAGCAGAUGUAACUUUUUCUUCUUUUCCUGAUACUAAUCCAUUUUUCUUUUUGUUUCUCCUUCAGGUUGCUCGAAGAAACAUUCUCCACCUUGUGAGAUCCAUCAAAUCAUCUUUGUAUGAACGUAUUUUGCAAUGCGACGGUGUUUGCUUCAUGGUAUCGAACAUCUUUACCUCUGUUAAAUUCUGAUCAUGUCAUUGAACUUCUUCUAUUUUGAUUCCUAGGCGAAGUGUGUAAGUAUCAUUAUUUUAUUUCAGAGCCACAGGGAAGAUCUCAAGUUCUGGCACGAUUUGGAAAAUAAACUUAACUCUUUUUCGAAAUUGAUGUUCCUUUGAACGAAACUCAGUUAAAAAGCAUCUGGAGCCUCAAGAAUAAAAUCGAAGACGCAUCGAUUAUCACCCAAACGAAAAGCAUCAGAAGCUAUCAAACUACCAAGUUUAUCUAAUAAACCGAGCUAGAAUCUUAUACUAUGUGUAGUACUAGGGCUCCGGCACGAUAGUCUUUUUUUUUUUUUUUUUUUUUUUUUUUUUUUGGGAGAGAGAGAGAGAGAGAAAUAGUAUGCUACCCGCUUCGUUUAUUUUAUUUAGAAAUAAAUUUAGCUGAAAAUAUGAAUCAAUUAGGAUUUGAAUUUAGGUCUCGGAUACCAACCACCAAGUCCUUUUGCCACUUGCGCUAGGAACGGUCGGUUCCGGUACGAUAAUCUCGUUUUCGACCUUGUGGUAUUUAAAACAAUGAUCCAUAUCGUUAAAAUUGAUCUAGUGUACUUGAAAUUAUAAAAGAAAAUUUAUAUUUUUUUUUGACAUAGUUUAUUUUAUAAUCAAAUCAUUUCAAACUUGUUAAUUUUUAAUGACUACUAUGGCGAAUUUGUAGUUUAACGGUGUAGAAAAAUCUAAAUUUAUUUAAAUUUUGAUUAAAAAUACUUUAAACUAUCUAGAUCAAGGUCAGGAUUCUUGAUUUUAAAUUCAAAAGUCCUAUCCUCAAAUUUUAAAGAUUGUUUAAUUUGUAAUUUUUAUCGUGUAUUUUGACAUGAUUUACUUACUAACUAAACACUGUUGAAAAAAAUUAAAAUUUUAUUUCUAAAAAGUUAAUAUACCCUAAAUCAUAUUUAAUAAUGUGGAUCGUUGAUUUGAACACCCUAAGAUUGAAAAUAAGACUAUAGUACCGAAUGUCUUAUCUAUAGUAGUCUCAUUCCUAAUAAACCAACAACUAUGUUAGUAUACUAUUUUAAUACUGUAAAUGAAUUACAUAUAUAUUAGUCUUUACAUUUCCAAAAAAAAAAAAAAAAAAAAAACGAAUUGACAGCCUGACGUUCUACAUAGGAAAGAAGGAAAAUCCUGUAAAACUUUUUUCAGGGGACUUUUUUUUUUUUUUUCCAAAUAACCCUAACUGAAUUAUAAUUAGCUAAAUAAUCCUACUAAGAAAAUAUUUGGCGAAAUAAUUCUCUUUUUGCCACGUAGGGUGGAUUUUUUUUUAAAAAAAAACGGUAAAAUUGUUCACUGAUUAUAAGAAGACGGUGAACGAUUUACCGUCUUUAUAAUUUCCAACUAAAAAGGUGAAUUAUUCACCUUCUUCUAAAAAAUUAUUUAUUAAAUUGUUAGGAUUAUAUGUAAUUUGCUGAAAAUUUUGUGUUUGUUAUAAUUAUAUAUGAAAAAAAUAAAAAAAAACUUAUUUAAAAAAGAAGACGAUAAAUGAUUUAUUAUUUUUAUGAAGAUUUUGAAAAGCGGUGAAUUAUUUACUGUUUUUAUGAAGACGGCCGUUUACUGUCUUUAAGAGAAAAUUACUCCGUGGCUCCUAUAUUGCAAAAAGAGGAUUAGUUUACCAAAAAAAAAAAAUUUAUAGAAUUAUUUUCCUAAUUAGAAAAUUUUAUAGGGUCAUUUUGAAAGAGUCCUUUUUCAGGUGUCAAAAUAUCUGUAAAUCAUUAUCGAAAGAGUAAAAAAUGGCGACAUUUUGUGGACUAACAAGCAACUCAGUAAAAGAAGCGAAAGAUAAAUUCAAAGUACUUCGGAUUUAUUUGUUUGCCCGUAAUUAAUUUUCAUGUCGAAUAUUACUUUCAGUUGAAAGGAAGUUCACAUGAUUUUUUUUUUGUUUUUCAUCUGAUUUGUUUAAUAGAAAGACAGUGAAUUUGAAACUUUAUUUAUUCCACCCUUUUGUUUGUUUUACUAAAAAUUUUCGCACUAACACGAAAGCGCGUAAGAAAAAAAAACAUCACAACAGUUAAACUUUUUUUUUCUUAUUAUUAUUUUCCAUCUCUUUUUCUCCUGUAAUUGACUGCAAAACUAACCAAGGCUAAGUUAAUUACGACGAUUUGAAAACGUGGAGUUAACCCUCGGAUGGUAAAAUAUAAGGUUGGGAUGAUGGUAAUAGAUGGUGGUAGGUGGUGGUUGGUGGAAUAAUAUUUGAUCCAAAGGUUAUAGCAAUUAAAGAGUAGAUCCAAGGGCUAAAAAUCUAGAAGCACCAAGGGAUGAUAUUUUUAAAAGUAUUCUAGCUCAAUUUUAUAUAUAUAUAUAUAUAUAUAGAGAGAGAGAGAGAGAGAGAGAGAGAGAGAGAGAGAGAGAGAUAGAGUAGGGCUAGAAUACUUUUACAAGUAUCACCCAAGUGAUACUUGUGUGUUUUUAGCCCUUGGAUGGAGAGAUGUGAGGUUGAGAUGAUGGGGGUAGGUGGUGGUAUGUGGUGGUAGGUGGAAUAGUGUUUGAUCCAAGGGCUAUUUGUAAUCAAAAAGUAGAUCCAAUGGCUAAAAACAUGAUAGCAACAUGGGGAUGAUACUUGUAAAAGUAUCCUAGAUCAACUCUAUAUAUAUAUAUAUGAAUUAGCUCCUGGAAUACUUUUAAUAGUAUUAAGACGCUCUUUUUGCUUUUAAGUUUUUAACCCUUGGAUGAAAAAUUGUAGGGUCAGGAUGAUAUUAGUUAGGUAGAAUUGAGUGGUCCCCCUAGGGUUGAGUGGUCCCCACUGGGUUAUAGUAUUUAAUCCAAUGAUUAGAAAUAAUGAAAAAGUUGAUCCAAAAGUUAAAAAACUAAAAAACUGGUAGCAACAAUGGGAUUUUGCUACUAAUAGUAGCCCAGUCCAACUCUAUAUAUAUAUAUCUAUAUAGUACGUCUGGCAUGCUUAUGGAAGCACAGAGCGCUCCGUACUUCUAAGUUGUUUUCGAUUUCGAUGUUCGAACUUUCGAAUCGACGAUCGGCUCCGUUAGACUUGAUCUAGAGUAUUUGAAGUAUCUAGAAAAUAAAUUUUGCGAUUUUUUGACAUCAUUUGCCUAGUGAUCUAAGUGACUCAAAAUCAACGGCUGAAAAUAAAAAUCUUACAAAAUAUGAUGAUAUAACAUUAAAAUUUUAUAUCAGAGUUAUUGAUUUUGUUUUAUAUGGUAUAAAUAAUUUUCUAUCAAAAUUUCAUGUGAUUUGGAUAUUUCUACACCGUUAAACUUGCAAAUGACUCACCACGGCCAUUAAAAUUAUUGAUUUUGAGCCCCUUCGAUCAUUAGGCAAAUGAUAUCGAAAAAUCACAAAAUUUAUUUUCUAGGUACUUCAAAUACUCUAGAUCAACUCUAACAGAGCCGAUCGUUGAUUCGAAAGUCCCAACAUCAAAAAUAACUUGAAAGCACGGAGGGCUUCGUGCUUCCAGAAGCAUACCAGCCCAUUAUAUAUAUAUAUAGAGUCCAGUUAUGGUGCUUGUAAAAGUACCAAGCACUUGGUACUUGUAGGUUUUUAACCGUUAGAUCAGCAUUCUUAAUUAUUUACACCCGUUAGAUUAUACUAUUCAACCAACCACCCACUCAACCCUAGGGGGCCCACAUCAUCCUAACCACAUAUUUUUUAAUCCAAAGGCUGAAAACUUACAAGCAUCAAUGUCUUAAUUCUUUUAAAAGUAUAGGAGCUCAAUUCUAUAUAUAUAUAUAGAACUAGGCUGGAAUACUAUCAAUAGUACCAAGUCAUUAGUGUUACCAAGUUUUUGGCUAUUGGAUUAAGAGAUGUAGGAUUAGAAUGAUGUGGGUCCCCUAGGGUUGAAUGGGUGUUUGGUUGAAUAGUAUAAUCUAACGGGUAAAAAUAAUCAAAUGGGUUAAUUUAACGGUAGAAAACUUGAUAGCACCAAGUGCUUGGUGCUAUCUUGGUGCUAUCGAUAGCAUAGCAGCCGGACUAUAUAUAUAUUAAAUAGGUUUUCAUCUUUUUUUUUUUCCUUUCAACCAAACAACCAUCAUGGAAAACUAAUUUUCUUUUCCUACAAACCAAAUAAUAAACUACAUAAAACUAUUUUGCCACUGUGUUAGGCCAAUAAUGCGCGGCCGCGUGGUAUGGUAUGCUGGUGCACUAUUCAACCCUAAUCUUUAAGAGCGAGGAUUAAGGGAGAUUUUGGUGUGCACCGGGAGCAUUGACAAUAUAAUUGAGUAACCGACAGGUGUAAUUGCAGGAAGUUACAGUAACUGCAAGUGGUUACGGGCGGUUCUGAUCAAUUUGAAGUGGCCCAAAAAAUAGGGUAGUGGUCGAUCAUAGAUGGGAAAAUAACUAACCAACAGAGAUGGACUAUAAAUAUGCAAAUAACACCUAGAAAAGAGGUCUUUUCCUCGAGAAUAGAAGACCACCUGUAUUUUCUCUGUAUUUUUCUCGUAUUCUCUAGGAGUAGUCUAUUUGUAAUCUUUUACUUUCCCGUACUUACUAUUUUUUUUUAGGAGUAAGUUUAAGUUAGAUCAACCGAGUCUGUAUGCCCUGAGGCACACUCAUCCUUUGUACUAGUUUCACAAGUUAAUUCCAAUAUAUAAAGGUAUUCGGCUCUUCAGCCGACCCAAAGCACAGUGUAUUCCGUACAUUCGGCUCAUCCAGCCGAACAGAAUCUAUAGUAGAAGGUUCUGAACUCGGUUGAUCCGAUCCCUCAUCAGCCAAAUCGCUUGAUCCAAUUGAAGGGCUCAAAAUUCGAGGGUUACCAUUCACAGCCGUUCCGCAUCCCUGCACUCUUCCUGAGAGAGAUCUUUGAUCGGGUCAAGAAUUAGGGAAUUCGGCUCCUAACACACUGAAAAUUUUUUUUCACAGUUUUACGUCAAACCAACAGUCCCUUAUUUGAUUGCUCGUAAAAAAAAUUGUCGAAAAAAAAACCAAGUUUACGUUUUCCACCCACCACCGGCAGAAAUGAAAACUUGCCCCCAAAAGGCGUGGUUCAUAGCGCUCAAAAAAGCACGGUCCACAAGAAAGCCUAGUUCUCGUGGACAGCUUGAGUAGUCCAAAUGUGGACCACUCACUAAGGGUGGAAACGAGCUUACUUCGGCUCAAAUUUGGUUUGAAAUUAAUUUCAAGCCUAAAUUUAAGCUCAAGCUUGGUUUGAAAUUAAUUCAAGCCGAGCUCGAGCAAGCCUAAUUUCGAGUCGAGCGAGCUCGAGCCCUAAACGAGCCGCUUGAAAUUCUCAACAUCGUAUGACCAAUAGUUUAAUUUGUAUAUAACAUUAUCUACAAUAAUUGAUACAAAAAUAUAUCUAAAUGUUCAAAGUACAAAAUAAUUAUAUGAAGUACAGUAUUUUUUUUAUCUCUAUCUGUAAUAUAAUAUCUAUACUAUCUAGCACGUAUUUCAGACCCAUUUUUAGGUGGGAAAAAGUUUUGAUUCCC
rnacentral:lncRNA from 1 species